CUAGAGACAGAGGAGUCCCGGCCCAGCCCGCCGGACAACGUCCUAGGGCGAGCGCCUGGGCUCCUCCCCGCGGCGGGGCGCCCCUGCUGAGGCUGCGUCCCCGGCGCUGCCCUCAGCGCGCCCGCCCGCCCGCCAAUGUCAGCCGCCACACGCCGCACGUGACGUGUGCUGGCCAAUGGAGGCCUGAAGCGGACCGUGACGAGAGCGGUGGCUCUGGGCAUUUUCGAACGGGCGCGGGCGGUGAGGGAACCGUGAGGGACGCUGAGGGGAUGGCGCGGGUGCGGAAAGGGGACCAUAAGUAAGGGGACGGCGCGAGGACAGCUAGGGGACGGCGCGAGCCAAGAAGGACGGCGGCGGAGCUGGCUGCAAGCGCUCCCCGGCCGCAGGGUCGAGAAGAGUGAAUGGAGGAAGAGCCAGGAGAGCCCUGGAGCCGCGCGGACGGAACCCGACGACUGGCCGUCUCUCUCCGGGCGCGCUUCCUGUGUUGUUCCUCCUGCUUCUACUGGUCCUAUCGUCCCAACUCUUACGGCGUCGCGGCCCCAGGUGGUUGAGAGAAAUCCGAGGAGCAGAAUCUGGGUAGGCAUUACUAGCCCCAUGUUGCAGAUGACACUGGAAGAUAGAAAUGGUGACAAACUGAAUGCGGAGAGGCUGUUAGAUUGACCAGAUGGUCUGAUACCAGUUGGCUGCAGAGUUGCAAGCACAUGGACCUAAGAAUGUAAUUUUCUGUACCGAGUCCACGAAGGCCACUCUGCCUAAAGCUGACAGGAAUCAACAAACAAGAUGAAGAUACCAUACUGCCCUGUGGCUCAGGAAGCAGGCCCCAUAUAAUACACCAAUGCAAAAAUAGUGUGACAUCUAAACACCAGUAUGGUAAUGGUGUAAAAAAUUUGUUUUAGUAAGCAACAGAUGAAAAGAGAUUUGAAAACGUUGACUUGGUAUUUCUCAGCACUGUCCUACAGAGAACAGUGCCCAUACUUGGGCUUGUUAAUAAGUAAUGGAGACUGGGCACUGUGGCUCAAGCCUGUAAUCCCAGUACUUUGGGAGGCCGAGGUGGGCGGAUCACAUGAGGUCAGGAAUUUGAGACCAGCCUGGCCAACAUGGAGAAACCUCGUCUCCACUAAAAAUACAAAAAUUAGCCAGGCGUGGUAGUGCACACCUGUAAUCCCAGCUACUAGGGAGGCUGAGGCAGGAGAAUUGCCUGAACCCAGGGGGCGGAGGUUGCAGUGAGUGGAGAUCGCACCAUUGCACUCCAGCCUGGGCCACAGAGCAAGACUCCAGCUCAAAAAAAAAAAAAAAGUAAUGGAUUGGUUUCAUACAUUUAAUAAACAAUGUCUUGUGUAUACUUGUGCUGCACUAAGCAUUAACAAUUCCAAGGUGAAUUAGACGUUACCCUGCCCACAGUCUAUGGGGAGACAGACAGGUAUACAAACAAUUAGAACAUAUCAUGAUAAUGGUAUUUGGGCGGUAUGGGAGCACAUGAGAAGAGUAUCCAACCUGGCUGGAGAGAGGGAAAAAGAGGGAUUUCUGUUAGAGAAGACUUUCUAAAGAAAUGAUGAUUGACCUGAGUCUUGAAAAUCAAGCUUGAGCGGAUCAAGCUAAGUAAGUGGAAUGGCAGUCCAAGCAGAGGGAUCAGGUAGUCUAAAAGUGUGUUGAUGUGAGAGAAGCCAGCAUAUGUGACACUUGCUAUGAAGAAAGAGGGGGUAGAAGAACAUAUUGAGGAGUUAGUGCCCUGUCAUGAUGGAUCAUGUGUGCCAUGCCAGGGAGUUUGCAUCCUUUGGCCAUAGCAUCCACUCCUUCCCUUGCUUUGGGGAAACUAUUUCUCCACCUCGUGUGUAGUCUUGGUGGCAUUAUUAAGAUGCCCUGUGUUCCCCCAACUAGUGGAUAGAUGGAUAACCCUAGUUAGGCCAACCAGAUUAUCUGCCAAGGGUGAGAGGGAAAGUAGUGGGAUAGGAAGUUGAGAGUGUUUAAACAUGCCCCCCUAGGGAGGAGAUGAGAUUUCAUUUGGAUCCAUGAAAAGAUUAUUAAAUUGGAUAGAGAGCACAAUCAAGGAUAGAGGUCAUGUGUGUGAUGUUUUCUUCAGCAAACUCAAUAGCACAGAGUCUCUAGUUGAUUUUCGCAUCUUACAACUGGAUAUAAAUACUGUAUUCCAGCCAUUCGAAAGGUGUAUUUUAUAGCUAUUAGGAUGAUAUUUUGUAACCAAAAAUUAAAUGACUUUAGUAUUUUAAAUAAAUACUAUGUAGACCUCAUUUCUCUACUGUAACUUGGAUGGUUAUUCCACAAAUUUGAGUAAUAUGUGGGUUUUACUUUCAUUCCAUGUUUACCUAACAACCUUCUUGGAGUUCUAACUCAAUAACAACAGGAUUCCCCAGUGGAAAAAAAAAUCACUGUAUUAUUUAUACAUAAAUUAUUUAGUUAUACAUAAAUUCUUUAGUUUUCUAAAUUUCUAAGGGCUUAAAACUGUAGCAUCAUUAUGACACAAAAAUUACACAUCACAGAUAAACUCUCUUCCCAAGGUUUUGAAUAUCAUUUUUUCUUUAAAAAUGAAAAUACAUUUAUCUUUAUAAUAUACAUGUUCAUUGAAGAUAAGUUUCAAGAAAGGCAGAAAAGUAUGAGGAAUACACUUAGUAGUUUACAUUGUCCAAGACAUUUUUCUAUGAACAUUUAUUUAAAUAUAAGUGUACUUUAAAAUAAGAUCAUAUCAUACGUACUGUUUCAUAACUUAUUUUUUACGUAACAUAUCUUAGACAGCUUUGCUAAGUACCACAGACUUAAUGGCUUAAAACACCACACGUUUAUUAUCUGUUUCUGUGCAUCAUCAGUUCUGUCACAGUUUCUGUCAACAGAUUGCAAUUCAGGUACUGGCCAGGGCUACAAUCUUAUCAGAAGCUCAACUGGGAAAUGAUCUAUUUCCAUGUGCCCUCAAGUUAUUGGCAGAAUUCAUCUCCUUGCAGCUAUAGACAGGUCACCAUUUUCUUGCUGACUAUCAGCAAUGGGCUGCUGUCAGCUUCUAAAGGCCACCCUCAAUUCUUUGCCUUGUGGUCCUCUCCAUAGACUUCAGAAAUGGCAGCUUACUUUUUCAAAGCCAACAAAGGAGAGAGAGAAUUGUUAUAAUUUUUAGUAGUAACAUAAUAUUCCACUAUAGGACUGUAACAUAAUUUAUUUAACUAUCCUCUAUGGAUACUAGGAUGUUUUAAAUUUUUCAUUAUAAACAGUGUUACAGUAAAUGUCCUCAUGCAUAUACCUUUGUGACUUCUCUGAUUAUUUUCUUAGGAUAUACCCAGAGUGAAUUGCUGAGUCAGAUGGUAUACUUUUUCAAUCUUUUUUUUCUUUGCAUAUUGUAAAAUAGCUAUCCAGAAAACUAAGCCCUUUUAUAUUUCUAAGAAUGUAUGAGAAUGCUGGUUGGUAUGCAUAACUUGCCAACAUUGGCAUUACCCAUAAGUUUAAUAUUUGCCAAUCUAAUGAGUGAAAAAAAUAUUUCUUAUUGUUUGAAUUUGCUAAAUUAGUGAACUCAAACAUAUUUUUAUGUGUUUACUGGACAUUGUGUUUUUUGAAUUGUCUUUUCAUGACUUUAGCCCAUUUUGCAAUUGUGAAAGCACUUUGUAUGUUAAGUGCUCUUUGUUUGUGGAUUGCAAAUAUGUUUCCUACUUUAUUUAUGUUUGUUAACAUUUUUGUUAUUUUGUUUCUAGGGGAUAAUUUUGUUUAUGGGGGAUUUUUGGCCAUAAAAAAGUUUUAAAUGUUUUUUGAAAUCAAUUCUAUUGAUUUUCCUAAUGCAUUCUGCCUUUGACGGCAUGCUUAGAAAUGUCUUUCCCACCUAAGGGCAUAAAACCUUUCACUUAUUUUUGUUCUAGAAUGUUUAUGGUUUCUUUUAACAUUUACAUUUUAAUUGUUUUAGAAUUAUUGUGUUGCAAAAUAGAUUGAUUGCUGUUGUCCUGUGAUGAGUUUUUUAAAAAAUUGAGUUAUUCAAUUGAGAGGGGUAACUCUAGAGUUAUUUUUAAAAUCUGUAACUUGUUACUGUAGAUUUGUGGGAAAUAGAGAACAAACCAACACUGUGAAAUGUUUUCUUCAUCAUGUGGUUCUCUAAGCACUUUUUGUUCCAGUAAUGUCUACUUUUUCCUGAAAUUAUAUAGAAGUGUAUCACUUGUGCUGUAAUAACAUUAUAUGAGAGGACUUAUUAGUGACAAAUUGACAACAGGGAAUAAAUAAGCAUAAUUGACCAGGAGGACAUGGGACAAAGACCAAACCACAAAUGCCCUUAAUUAAGAGGGCAGGAUGAUCCUGCCACAACACAAUUACUUUGAAAAACAGUAAUAUUGAGGCCAAGGGCACCAAGGCAUUGGUUGAGAAACGAGUCAUUCAUCACUGCAAAUGGGCAACUGAAGAUAGAGAGGAGUGGCAAGCUGAGAAAGAAGGAGCUCAGGCCUGGCUGAAGUGUGAAGCAAGUCUCUGAGGUACAUUCUUCUGCUCCAGUGAAAUUCAGAGAAGAGAUUCCAGAAAGCCAUAGGAACUUUCAUGAGCUUGAUUUCUCUUAAGGAAUGAAUGUGUGAAAUGAAAAAUCAAGCAUUAAACUCAUUAAAUUCUAGUGCUGUGACUUAUUUGCCUGGGAUUCCGAGCACUUAGUGCAGUGCCUAGCUCAAUAUGGGUUCUCAAUAAAUGUUAUUUUCUUUCCCCUU